rnacentral:rRNA from 1 species
GAUGAACGCUGGCGGCGUGCCUAAUACAUGCAAGUCGAGCGAACAGAUGAGGAGCUUGCUCCUCUGACGUUAGCGGCGGACGGGUGAGUAACACGUGGAUAACCUACCUAUAAGACUGGGAUAACUUCGGGAAACCGGAGCUAAUACCGGAUAAUAUAUUGAACCGCAUGGUUCAAUAGUGAAAGACGGUUUUGCUGUCACUUAUAGAUGGAUCCGCGCCGCAUUAGCUAGUUGGUAAGGUAACGGCCUACCAAGGCAACGAUGCGUAGCCGACCUGAGAGGGUGAUCGGCCACACUGGAACUGAGACACGGUCCAGACUCCUACGGGAGGCAGCAGUAGGGAAUCGGCCGCAAUGGGCGAAAGCCUGACGGAGCAACGCCGCGUGAGUGAUGAAGGUCUUCGGAUCGUAAAACUCUGUUAUUAGGGAAGAACAAAUGUGUAAGUAACUAUGCACGUCUUGACGGUACCUAAUCAGAAAGCCACGGCUAACUACGUG